UACGUAGGGGGCAAGCGUUGUUCGGAAUUACUGGGCGUGAAGGGCGCGUAGGCGGCACGGCAAGUCGGGAGUGAAAGCCCGGGGCUCAACCCCGGAGGGUCUCUCGAAACUGCCGAGCUAGAGUGCGGAAGAGGCAAUCGGAAUUCCCAGUGUAGCGGUGAAAUGCGUAGAUAUUGGGAGGAACACCGGUGGCGAAGGCGGCAUCCUGGACCGGCAUUGACGCUGAGGCGCGAAAGCCAGGGGAGCAAACGGG
rnacentral:rRNA from 1 species